GGACUUCUGUGGCAAGUUGGUUUUAUUACUUCCAUGCUCUAUGUCUUUGUUGAACUAUCCAAAAUUUGGUUUUGGGCUGUUUCGAAUUUAUUGUUCACAAAUCUGUCUUGUGCAAGUUUCUCUCUGUCUGUGUUUUAGGUUGAAGUUGGCCGAGAGCGAUAAGUCGUACAGUUGCUGAUCUAGAAGCAUUAGGCAAGAGUGUCUGAGAACGAUGAGAGAACUCCCAUUAAUGGGAAUCAAAAGGAAACCCUGAAAUCAUUUUUUAAGGAUGGAAUGACACGAGUUGGUUCAGAAUUAAUACCAAGAGCUGCAUCAGCUACUGGUUUGGAAACCAGUGUCAUAGAAAUAAGAACUGGAUUGGUAAUUACAAAAGAUCGCAAAUGACCAAUGCUUUGUCUGAGCCCCGGCCAUCCAAAGCCAAAGUUCA